rnacentral:misc_RNA from 1 species
ACACCUCAAUCCCCAUGUUAUCUUUUGAUGCAUGAGUGGGUUGGAUGUUGAGCAUUGCUGGCCUGUAACCCAGUCAGCUUGCUUUAAAUGCAUCAGCUGGCUUCUGUACUUGAUCGGUUUGACUCAAUGUGAUAACAUCUUCAUUGGGGAUUGCAUUGUCAUAAAUGCAGCCGGAAAGUACAAAGCAGCUUUCUAGCCUGCCUCUUUUAGUGGGUGGCACCAUUUUACAU